CCUUGAGCCAACUGCCCUUUCCCCUUAUUUACGAGAAAGGGCCGUGAAUGGCCAGGUGGCUGCUGGGCUAUGACUGGCUGCUGUGAGAAUCGUCUGUGGGCUUCCGACACUCUCAUGCCCAUUACUCAUCUCUCUACUAUCUGCUGAGACCUCUCCUUUGCGAACACAGAAGGGGUCUUCUGACUCGGACCUGAGCUCAUCCAAAAGGGCCGGCCUCCUGCGUGAUGAGAACCUCAAACAUGAAGUCCACACUCAGCAGUCCUCCCAGAUCUUGAAGGUGACCUGACCCACCAACUGAGACUUCAGGUCAACAGGGCAACUUACCUUGUACAAUAAAC
rnacentral:lncRNA from 1 species